rnacentral:rRNA from 2 species
UUGAAAGGGAAACGAUUGAAGUCAGUCGUACCUGCGGGUAAUCAGCCUUUAGGAUGCGAUUUUGUGGAGCGUGAGGGGUUGAACGCCUUCAUGCCUGCAUAUUCGUGUACUUUGGGUGUACUUGCCUGUGUGGUUAGUUAACAUCAAUUUUGGUUAUCAUAAAAUGGUUGGAGGAAUGUAGCUUCGAUUUCGAUUGAAGUGUUAUAGCCUUCGGCAGAUGUGAUGAUCGGGAUUGAGGAUUGCAACGGAUACCUUUCGGGGCUACCUGUCUGAUCUCUGAUCGUUGCUCUGGUGUCGAAAGCGUGCUUACGGUUAUCAGAGUCGAUGGUCAAUAGGUUAGAACGGGUUAAAUUCGUUAAGGAUGUUGACGUA